UGUUAACCUUAAAAAGGAGUACAAAGGCAUCUACUGGCAAGAAGAGAUCAUUCCAUUUUUCCAGUCUGCAACUCUUCCAAAAGAUUGCACAAGUGUUCAACAGUGCUAUCUCGAGCUGUCGAAACAGGUCAAGGAGAAACUUUCCGCUAUAGACCCGUAUUUCACCAAGCUAGCUGAUGCCAUGGUGACAUGGAUUGAAGCCUGGGAUGAGCUCAACCCUAAACCUUCCAUCUCAAACGGCCCCGGAAAGUAGAGAUUUCGUUGAGCUUAUGGUUCUUGCCUUUUUGCAGUUUGAGUUUGAGAUGAGUUGAGUUGAGCUUGGAUACACUAUUUAUCUAUUUACUUGUUGUCUAAGAUUUACUUAUAUUGUAGACUAUUAUUUACUUGUUGUCUAAGAUUUACUUAUAUUGUAGACUAUUAUUUACUUGUUGUCUAAGAUUUACUUAUAUUGUAGACUAU
rnacentral:misc_RNA from 1 species